GACGAACGCUGGCGGCGUGCUUAACACAUGCAAGUCGAACGGUGAAGCACCUUACUUUUGGUGGGUGUGGCUGAGUGGCGAACGGGUGAGUAACACGUGAGUAACCUGCCCCCUUCUUCUGGAUAACCGCAUGAAAGUGUGGCUAAUACGGGAUAUUCUCGGACUGUCGCAUGGCGGGCCUGUGAAAGCUAUUCUCUCUGUGUGGGAUCGGAUCGCGGUCUGUCAGCUUGUUGGUUGAGGGAUGGCCUAGGAAGGCGGUGAUGGGUAGCCGGCCUGGGAGGGUGGCCGGUCACGGAGGGAGUCAGAGACGGGCCAGACUCGGAAGGGAGGCAGCGGGGGGGAAUAGUGAACAAUGGGAGCAAGCCUGAUGCAGCGACGCCGCGGGAGGGAUGGAGUCCGGCGGGUUGUAAACCUCUUUCGCGAGGGAAGCAGGCCUGGCCCAUAUGUGGGUGGGUUGACGGUAGCUGGAGAAGAAGCGCCGGCUAACUACGUG
rnacentral:rRNA from 1 species